GAUGAACGCUGGCGGCGUGCCUAACACAUGCAAGUCGAACGUGAAGCUCGUAAUGAGUGCUUCGGUAUGAUUUAUGGGUGGAAAGUGGCGAACGGGUGAGUAACACGUAGGUAAUCUGCCUCGAAGUGGGGGAUAACCAUUGGAAACGAUGGCUAAUACCGCAUAGUUCUGUCGGCAUGGGAAUGCUGGCAGGUAAAGCUCUGGCGCUUCGAGAGGAGCCUGCGUCCGAUUAGCUAGUUGGUGGGGUAAUGGCCCACCAAGGCGACGAUCGGUAGCUGGUCUGAGAGGACGAUCAGCCACACGGGGACUGAGACACGGCCCCGACUCCUACGGGGGGCAGCAGUGAGGAAUAUUGCACAAUGGGGGAAACCCUGAUGCAGCAACGCCGCGUGGAGGAUGAAGGCCUUUGGGUCGUAAACUCCUUUUUUGGGGGAAGAGCAAGGACGGUACCCCAAGAAUAAGUCACGGCUAACUACG
rnacentral:rRNA from 1 species